GGGGAUGACCCAGUGGUAGAUCAUCUGCCUGGCAUUCAGAAGGUCCCAAGUUCAAUCCCUGGCACCUUCA
rnacentral:tRNA from 1 species